GAUGAACGCUAGCUACAGGCUUAACACAUGCAAGUCGAGGGACCGGCGCACGGGUGAGUAACACGUAUCCCACCUGCCCUUUACUCGGGGAUAGCCUUUCGAAAGAAAGAUUAAUACCCGAUGUCAAGGAUGGGUAUGCGUUCGAUUAGGUUGUUUGUGAGGUAAAGGCUCGCCAAGCCUUCGAUGGAUAGGGGUUCUGAGAGGAAGUCCCACCACAAUGGAACGGAGACACAGACCAAACUCCUACGGGAGGCAGAAGGGAUGAAUAUUGGUCAAUGGGCGUUAGCCUGAACCAGCCAAGUAGCGUGAAGGAUGAAGGGUUUUGGGUCGUAAACUUGUUUUAUAUAAGAAUAUGUAUUAGAUGAAUAAGGAUCGGCUAACUCCGUGCCAGCAGCCGCGGUAAUUC
rnacentral:rRNA from 1 species